UAGCAUAUCAAUAAGCGGAGGAAGAGCAACUAACCAGGAUUCCCCCAGUAACGGCGAGCGAAGAGGGAAGAGCUCGAGCAGGCAAUCUCUGGCGUUGAUCGUCAGCGAAUUGUGGCCUGGAGAGGCGGCUGCACCCGAGGCGAUCCGUCCGAAGUUGACCUGGAAAGGCACGUCGAAGAGGGUGAUAACCCCGUGCGUGGCCGGGUCGCCUGGGGCCGCUGCCGUCUUCCGAGAGUCGGGUUGUUUGGGAUUGCAGCCCAAAGUGGGUGGUAAACUCCAUCUAAAGCCAAAUAGCGGCACGAGACCGAUAGCGAACAAGUACCGUGAGGGAAAGGUGAAAAGCACUUUGAAAAGAGAGUUAAAUAGGCCGCGAAACCGUUAGGAGGGAAACGCAUGCAGCCGAACGGACCCUCGCCGGGUUCACGGGUGGCCGGAGACGAGCCGUUUCGGUGGGCACCCCACGGGUCCCCGGAGCGGGCUGCGUCCCCGCGGCCCUGCACUCCCGGCGUUUCGGGUCGACCAAGGGCGGCGGUUCCGCGGGUGAAGCGGGCGAUCGGGAGGUACCGCAGCCGGCCGGUGUCGGAGGCGAACUUACGAGCCGGUCGUUCCUCGAGCCCGCGGGCCGCCGAGGAGAGGGCGGCUGUGUCGCCCCCUCAGCGUAGGCCCCUGCAGGCCGGAGCUCUUCUGACCGUGCAGCCGUUAGCUCCGCGAGACUGUUCGCAGUGUCCGGCUGUGGCGUGCUCGUUCGGUCGGGAGGUCGUCUCACGCGUUGCGCUGUAGCCUCUUGGCCAGACGUCGGCUCCAUUCGACCCGUCUG
rnacentral:rRNA from 1 species